CGAUGGAGGGGGAUAACUACUGGAAUNGGUAGCUAAUACCGCAUAAUGUCGCAAGACCAAAGAGGGGGACCUUCGGGCCUCUUGCCAUCGGAUGUGCCCAGAUGGGAUUAGCUUGUUGGUGAGGUAACGGCUCACCAAGGCGACGAUCCCUAGCUGGUCUGAGAGGAUGACCAGCCACACUGGAACUGAGACACGGUCCAGACUCCUACGGGAGGCAGCAGNGGGGAAUAUUGCACAAUGGGCGCAAGCCUGAUGCAGCCAUGCCGCGUGUAUGAAGAAGGCCUUCGGGUUGUAAAGUACUUUCAGCGGGGAGGAAGGGGUUAAGGUUAAUAACCUUAGCCAUUGACGUUACCCGCAGAAGAAGCACCGGCUAACUCCGUGCCAGCAGCCGCGGUAAUACGGAGGGUGCAAGCGUUAAUCGGAAUUACUGGGCGUAAAGCGCACGCAGGCGGUCUGUCAAGUCGGAUGUGAAAUCCCCGGGCUCAACCUGGGAACUGCAUUCGAAACUGGCAGGCUUGAGUCUCGUAGAGGG
rnacentral:rRNA from 1 species